rnacentral:rRNA from 1 species
CCCUUAGAUGUUCUGGGCCGCACGCGCGCUACACUGAUGCAUUCAACGAGUUUCUUCCUGGUCCGAGAGGAAUGGGUAACCUUUUGAAAGUGCAUCGUGAUAGGGAUAGACUAUUGCAAUUAUUGGUCUUCAACGAGGAAUUCCUAGUAGACGUAGUUCAUCAGACUGCAUCGAUUACGUCCCUGCCCUUUGUACACACCGCCCGUCGCUCUUACCGAUUGAAUGCUCAGGUGAGCCAUUCGGACCUUCAUCAUGCCGGUUUCCGGUUUUGAUGAGGGAAAGUCUUGCGAACCUUAUCAUUUAGAGGAAGGAGAAGUCGUAACA